rnacentral:rRNA from 1 species
UACGGGAGGCAGCAGUGGGGAAUAUUGGACAAUGGGCGAAAGCCUGAUCCAGCCAUGCCGCAUGAGUGAAGAAGGCCUUCGGGUUGUAAAGCUCUUUUAGUGAGAAAGAUAAUGACGGUACUCACAGAAGAAGUCCUGGCUAACUCCGUGCCAGCAGCCGCGGUAAUACGGAGAGGGCUAGCGUUAUUCGGAAUUAUUGGGCGUAAAGAGCGCGUAGGCUGAUUAGUAAGUUAAAAGUGAAAUCCCAAAGCUUAACUUUGGAAUUGCUUUUAAAACUGCUAGUCUAGAGAUUGAAAGAGGAUAGAGGAAUUCCUAGUGUAGAGGUGAAAUUCGUAAAUAUUAGGAGGAACACCAGUGGCGAAGGCGUCUAUCUGGUUCAAAUCUGACGCUGAGGCGCGAAGGGCGUGGGGAGCAAACAGGGAUUAGAUACC